rnacentral:rRNA from 1 species
UUGAUCCUGGCUCAGGAUGAACGUUAGUAGUAUGCUUAACACAUGCAAGUCUAGCGAAAAGUGAUAGCAAUAUCAUUUUUAGCGGCGAACGGGUGAGUAAUGCUUAUCUUAUCUACCAUUUAGAGAGGGAUAGUCAAGGGCAACUUUGGUAAUACCUCAUACUCUGGUUUGCCAGGAAAGGGAACCGCAAGGAUCUCGCUAAAUGAUGGGGAUAAGUCGCAUCAGCCAAUGAAUAGUGAGGUAAUGGCUCACUAAGGCGAAGACGCGUAGCCAGACUGAGAGGUUGAUUGGCCACAGGGGAACUGAAACACGGAUCCCACCGAAAGGGCAGCAGUGAGGAAUUGUCGACAAUGGGGGAAACCCUGAUCGCUGUAAUACUACGUGAAGGAUGAAGGUCUACGGAUUGUAAACUUCUAUGUGUAUGUUGGGAUACAUACACUGAAAAAGUCACGACUAACUAUGUGCCAGCAGUCGCGGUAAGACAUAGGUGGCGAACGUUAUCCGGAAUUAUUGGGCGUAAAGGAUGCGUAGAUGGUAGAAUAAGUUACUGGUCGAUGCCAAACUCAAUUUGACGGAAGCUGGUAAUACUAUUCUGCUAGAGGACAGGAGAGGUUGAUGGAAUUCUGUGUGGAGCGGUGAAAUGCGUUGAUCUACAGAGGAACACCAAAAAAGGCGAAGGCAUUCAACUAUUCUGUUCCUGACAUUGAGGCAUGAAAGCGUGGGGAGCAAACCGGAUUAGAUACCCCGGGUAGUCCACGCCCUAAACGAUGAGCAUUAGAUAUUAGGCAUAUGCUUAGUGUCGCAGCUAACGCUUUAAAUGCUCCGCCUGAGUACUACGGCCGCAAGGCUAAAACUCAAAGGAAUUGACGGGGACCCGCNCAAGCGGUGGAGCAUGUGGUUUAAUUCGAUACGACGCGCAGAACCUUACCAAGGCUUGACAUGGAGGGCAAAGUUGAAGAAACUCAACGGAGGUUAUCCCGACACAGGUGGUGCAUGGUCGUCGUCAGUUCGUGCUGUGAAGUUUAUGCUUAAGUGCCAUAACGAACGCAACCCUCAUAUUUAGUUGCUACCAUUCAGUUGAGAACUUUAAAUAGACUGCCAAGGAAACUUGGAGGAAGGAGAGGAUGACGUCUGAUCCUCAUGCCCCUUAUGCCUUGGGCUACACACGUGCUAUAAUGGUUAGGACAAAGGGUCGCCAACCCGCAAGGGGGAGCCAAUCCCAAAAAANUAACCCAAGUUCGGAUUGGAGUCUGCAACUCGACUCCAUGAAGUCAGAAUCGCUAGUAAUCGUGAAUCAGCAAUGUCACGGUGAAUAUGUUCUCGGGUCUUGUACACACCGCCCGUCAAGUCAUGAAAGUNGGGAAUGCCUGAAACC